rnacentral:rRNA from 1 species
AACAGCUUAGACUUCGGUCUUUGCAAUUGCUUGGGUGUCGAAAGGCGCCCAAUCUUUAAAACUUUUAUAUUUGUUCUGAAACAAUGAAAAUUUAAAACUUUCAACAACGGAUCUCUUGGUUCUCGUAUCGAUGAAGAACGCAGCAAAGCGCGAUAGGUAAUGCGAAUUGCAGACGUGAGUCAUUGAAUUUUUGAACGCAUAUUGCGCUAUUAGUUUGUCUAAUAGCAUGCUUGUUGGAGUGAUAAUCUUCCUCUCAACCAUUUUUGGUAUGAGGUCUUGCUCCUUUUAGGAGUUAAAAUCAUGGAAGUGCACACGUUAAUUAACUCUGUGCAGUUAUACACUUUUCAUCCUCCAAUCAAGCAAGGUUACCCGCUGAACUUAAGCAUAUCAAUAGCGGAGGAA